rnacentral:rRNA from 1 species
AUUGAACGCUGGCGGCAGGCCUAACACAUGCAAGUCGAGCGGAUGAAGGGAGCUUGCUCCUGGAUUCAGCGGCGGACGGGUGAGUAAUGCCUAGGAAUCUGCCUGGUAGUGGGGGAUAACGUCCGGAAACGGGCGCUAAUACCGCAUACGUCCUGAGGAGAAAGUGGGGGAUCUUCGGACCUCACGCUAUCAGAUGAGCCUAGGUCGGAUUAGCUAGUUGGUGGGGUAAAGGCCUACCAAGGCGACGAUCCAUAACUGGUCUGAGAGGAUGAUCAGUCACACUGGAACUGAGACACGGUCCAGACUCCUACGGGAGGCAGCAGUGGGGAAUAUUGGACAAUGGGCGAAAGCCUGAUCCAGCCAUGCCGCGUGUGUGAAGAAGGUCUUCGGAUUGUAAAGCACUUUAAGUUGGGAGGAAGGGCAGUAAGUUAAUACCUUGCUGUUUUGACGUUACCAACAGAAUAAGCACCGGCUAACUUCGUG